AUUAAUGGGGGCAGCGAAGGAUCUACUGUACAAAAGAAAAGAGGUCGAGGAAAGGCUAAGGGUGUUUAUCUAGGUCAUAACCACAAGUGUGAGAUACAUGACAGAAGAUUCAUAGAAAAGAAAAUACCCCAAGAGAUUACUAUUAAGUUCCACCAAAACAUUACUGGGCCAUGGACAACUUUUUCAAAAUACCCUAAAGAACAACUAAAUAUGCUUUAUGAGUUAUACAAAGAAGCACAAUUUGAGACAGAUGACUUAGUUCUUGAGAGGUAGGUAUUUGAUGAGCAUGUCAAACGACGCUAUCCUGAUUGGAUGUGGCACCUUAGAGAAGAAUGUGUAACAAAUAAAAUUCCCCAAGAUGAAUGGUACAAGCAUCCCCCAGAUGAUGUAACUCCAACUAUUUGGAAAGAGAUGUGCAACAAAUGGAAUAAUCGCAAGUGAAAGGAAAAGAGUGAUAGAAACAAAAGAAAUCGCAGAAGGAGAUCAAAAUAUUACAGACCAAUGCUGGAGAAGGAAAUCAAAAUGUGGAUGA